UGUUGAGGGAUCACUUGUCACACUGUCCAAGGUAUGUUUGUGUUAUGAUAAACAAUGUAUUUUCUGUCCAGAUAAAGAUGGUGAUACAGCAUUGAAAAAGACUGACCAAAUGUCUUUGUUUUCCAGUCCAACAGGAGUAUAUCCCUCAGCCCAUCCGGUGCACAGAUAUCCUGUGCCAGAGUGAUAGGAGUGCGAACAUCCAGUUGUAGAGACUACAGAAGCCUAUGGACUGACAGGGAGACAACGCAGGUGGAAACAACACAGAUGGACAAGGAAGGGACUUCAUGAAUCAAGGAGGGGG
rnacentral:lncRNA from 13 species